rnacentral:rRNA from 1 species
GACGAACGCUGGCGGCAGGCCUAAUACAUGCAAGUCGAACGCACUCUGGUAUAGGUUUAAUGAUUUUGCUACUGAUGGAUAAACAUUUGGGAGAGUGGCGGACGCGGGAGGAACACGUGGGUAACCUACCCUAAAGGGGAGGAUAACAUUUGUAAAGAGGUGCUACUACCGCAUAAAACCUAACACCGCAUGGUGUAGGGUUGAACGAUGGUUUCGGCUAUCACUUGAUGAGGUACCCGCGCUGCAUUAGUUAGUUGGUGGGGUAAAGGCUCACCAAGACCGCGAUGCCUAGCUGACCUGAGAGGGUAAUCGGCCACACUGGGACUGAGACACGGCCCAGACUCCUACGGGAGGCAGCAGUAGGGAAUAUUCCACAAUGGACGAAAGCCUGAUGGAGCAACGCCGCGUGAGUGAAGAAGGUUUUCGGAUUGUAAAACUCUGUCGUUGGAGAAGAAGGUAUCUGAUAGAAAAUCAUCAGGCAGUGACGGUACCCAACCAGAAAGCACCGGCUAACUCCGUG